CCGGAUGUCUGCCAUGAUCUUGGCAAGGUCCCGAGACUGGGGGCAUCUACCUCCAUGGUCAACCCAGAGCUGGCAAUCUAGGCUUGUAGGCCUUUUGUAAUGCCCAACCUCAUUUUUCCUUUUUCACCUAGGCUUGUUUCCACCUGAACAGACUCUCCCUUAGCUAAGAGAACCAGACAAACUCCAUCUUGGCUCUUUCACUGGCAGCCCCUUCCUCAAGGACUUAACUUGUGCAAGCUGACUCCCAGCACAUCCAAGAAUGCAAUUAACUGAUAAGAUACUGUGGCAAGCUAUAUCCACAGUCCCCAAGAAUUCAUCUGUUUGAUAACGCCCAAAGCCCUGCAUCUAUAACCUUGUAAUAGUCUUAAAGCCCCUGCAUCUGGAACUGUUUACUUUCCUGUAACCAUUUAUCCUUUUAACUUUUUGACUACUUAACUUCUGUAAAAUUGUUUUAACUAGACGACCCCCCCUUUCUAAACCAAGGUAUAAAAGUUAAUCAAGCCCC
rnacentral:lncRNA from 1 species